rnacentral:rRNA from 1 species
ACGGAGAAGGCUAUGUUGGCCGGGCGACGGUUGUCCCGGUUUAAGCGUGUAGGUGUGUGUUCCAGGUAAAUCCGGUUCACUUUAACACUGAGGCGUGACGACGAGGCACUACGGUGCUGAAGCAACAAAUGCCCUGCUUCCAGGAAAAGCCUCUAAGCAUCAGGUAACAUCAAAUCGUACCCCAAACCGACACAGGUGGUCAGGUAGAGAAUACCAAGGCGCUUGAGAGAACUCGGGUGAAGGAACUAGGCAAAAUGGUGCCGUAACUUCGGGAGAAGGCACGCUGACACGUAGGUGAAGUGAUUUACUCAUGGAGCUGAAGUCAGUCGAAGAUACCAGCUGGCUGCAACUGUUUAUUAAAAACACAGCACUGUGCAAACACGAAAGUGGACGUAUACGGUGUGACGCCUGCCCGGUGCCGGAAGGUUAAUUGAUGGGGUCAGCGCAAGCGAAGCUCCUGAUCGAAGCCCCGGUAAACGGCGGCCGUAACUAUAACGGUCCUAAGGUAGCGAAAUUCCUUGUCGGGUAAGUUCCGACCUGCACGAAUGGCGUAAUGAUGGCCAGGCUGUCUCCACCCGAGACUCAGUGAAAUUGAACUCGCUGUGAAGAUGCAGUGUACCCGCGGCAAGACGGAAAGACCCCGUGAACCUUUACUAUAGCUUGACACUGAACAUUGAGCCUUGAUGUGUAGGAUAGGUGGGAGGCUUUGAAGUGUGGACGCCAGUCUGCAUGGAGCCGACCUUGAAAUACCACCCUUUAAUGUUUGAUGUUCUAACGUGGACCCGUUACCCGGGUUGCGGACAGUGUCUGGUGGGUAGUUUGACUGGGGCGGUCUCCUCCUAAAGAGUAACGGAGGAGCACGAAGGUUGGCUAAUCCUGGUCGGACAUCAGGAGGUUAGUGCAAUGGCAUAAGCCAGCUUGACUGCGAGCGUGACGGCGCGAGCAGGUGCGAAAGCAGGUCAUAGUGAUCCGGUGGUUCUGAAUGGAAGGGCCAUCGCUCAACGGAUAAAAGGUACUCCGGGGAUAACAGGCUGAUACCGCCCAAGAGUUCAUAUCGACGGCGGUGUUUGGCACCUCGAUGUCGGCUCAUCACAUCCUGGGGCUGAAGUAGGUCCCAAGGGUAUGGCUGUUCGCCAUUUAAAGUGGUACGCGAGCUGGGUUUAGAACGUCGUGAGACAGUUCGGUCCCUAUCUGCCGUGGGCGCUGGAGAACUGAGGGGGGCUGCUCCUAGUACGAGAGGACCGGAGUGGACGCAUCACUGGUGUUCGGGUUGUCAUGCCAAUGGCACUGCCCGGUAGCUAAAUGCGGAAGAGAUAAGUGCUGAAAGCAUCUAAGCACGAAACUUGCCCCGAGAUGAGUUCUCCCUGAGACUUUAGGUCUCCUGAAGGAACGUUGAAGACGACGACGUUGAUAGGCCGGGUGUGUAAGCGCAGCGAUGCGUUGAGCUAACCGGUACUAAUGAACCGUGAGGCUUAACCUUACAACGCCG